AAGGGAGACAACGUGGAGAUAAGGAAUAACAAAAUAUAUUUAUAAACUAAGGUAACCUAUAUACAAAUAAACAACAGUGUGUCUACAUGGAGAGAGUCUCCCAAUGAAUGUGGAAGAGGUCUAUUUCUCCUGGGACACACCCGGGCCCAGGUGUUUCCCAUGUCGCUGACGACAUGCUCCCAGCUCCCCGCUCCGCCCACCGGCAUCCUAAUAAGGAAACAAGAGCAAAGAGAGAGAAUACGGCAGACAGAGUGGGAGGGUCGUCACAUUCUCAACUAGCUUACCUGGUUAAAUAAAGGGACUGUGUUUGUACCCGUCUCUCAGGCCAAUGCACACACAAACAGUCAACUUAAUUACAGAGAACCAGAGAAAGGGGGAGGAAGAGGACAAAGAGCAGUGAGGGAUCUCACUUGAGGGUUUGCGGUUCAGAGGGGAGAGGAGAGAGGGAAAAGCCAGGGAGAGGCGCUCCUCAUAAUGGCCUCUCCGAUCUCUUUGGCACCAAGGCCCACGACCAUAAAACACUGCAUGGAUCAGAGGAGCACCAGUCAGAAAGAUG